rfam:Triticum urartu cultivar G1812 contig376908, whole genome shotgun sequence.
GUGAUACUCCCUCCGUCCGGAAAUACUUGUCAUCAAAAUGAAUAAAAGGGGAUGUAUGAUAUCUAGAUGUAUUUUAGUUCUAGAUACAUUCAUUUUUGUCUAUUUUGAUGACAAGUAUUUUUGGACGAAGGGAGUAUAAU